AUGACCAGAAGUAUGCUGAAAGAGAAGAAGCUACCUCACAUGUUAUGGGGAGAAGCUGUUGCCACAUCAACAUAUGUUCUGAAUAGGUGUCAAAAGAAGAAGCUGAAGGAAAUUGUUCCUUUAGAAAAGUGUACUGGAGAUAAGCAAAGUGUUAGCCAUCUGAGGGUGUUUGGUUCUGUAUGCUACAAAUACGUUCCAGAAGCUAGAAGACGGAAACUGGAUGAUAGAAGCAAAGUAAUGUUACUGGUGGGGUACCACAAUACAUGUGCCUAUAAUUUUUAUUGUCCAGAAACCAACAAA